CCAUGAUUGGAAUGAGGAGAUGCCCUUCAUGCAUAUUAUUUUAUACUAAUUCUGCAAGGACUUUCAAAAGUGGUCCAAGUACCAAUCCCAGAAAGUCACUUCCCCCCUGAACAAGAAUUUCCUUUUCGUUCUAAAACUUCUACUUCUGUCCGCUAAAUCAGCUAGAUCUUGUUUGAAAGGUCUGAGUUUGUCCUUUGUUUCUUUAGAGUAUGUGAAAUUUUCUAUACAAUGACACAAGCAUCGAAUUUGCUCAGGUGAUGUAGAAUUAAGAAGAGCUUGCUGUUGAGUUGGAUGAGAAGUACAUAAGAGCUCUACAAAAGGCCUGUACACAUCAAAGUAUGUCAUCUCUCUUCAAGAGUUGGAACCUAAAUGGUUCAUUUACUCGAGGAACAUGACUUUAAAAACGUUUUUGCGAAUAUAGAUUGAAUCAUUGAAACUUAGAUUGAAUCAUAGAGUGAGUCAUUGAAUCAUUGAAUGAAUCAUUGAAUCAUUGAAUCAACUAAACGACCGUAGAGAGAAACUAUGUGAAAAACUGUUUCGUGAAAUUGAAGAAAAUAAAGAUCACAAACUUCACGGACUUUUACCAGAAAUGAAUAAGGCUGGUUAUAACUUCAGAACAAUUAAGAAAUAUAAUCUCCCAA